GGUGCCCGAGAAGGGGGAUGGCAGCCUAGACGAUAUGAGGUUACUAGAGCGACCUCGACCCGACGUAGACCGACGAUGGCUCCUCCGAAGCGACCCUUGAAGCGAUUUAGUCCCGACCCGACGUAGACCUGUCCCGAUGGUUACUAGGCCCGUCGUAGACCGACGAAGGCUCCUCCGAAGCGACCAAGGAUCCUCGGCCGUCGUAGACCUUCGACCAAGGUUUCCCGGCCGUCGUAGACCUGCCCCGAUGGUUCCUAGGCACGUCGUAGACCGACGAAGGCUCCCCCGAAGCGACCAAGGUUUCUCGGCUCGUCGUAGACCUUCGACCAAGGUUUCUCGGACCGACGUAAACCUGCCCCGAUGGUUCCUCGGCCCGUCGUAGCGACCUGCUGAAAAAGUAUGACUCCUCAAAAAUUUAAUGUCUGUUCCUGUCACUUAAGUUUUUAUGCAAUAAGUAUAUAUAGGGGGGUGGUAGUAUUUGGAGGCAAGGAUGUGCGGGCACCGGUCGGCCUAUGGAACCACCGUUGUGUGCUCCGUGCAUUACGUCGAAGGCAAAUACGCCCCCUAAUCGGUGUCGUCCUGUGGGCACCGGUCGGGCUUGAUAUUCUCAAGCCCGUCGACGACGGUUCGCCUAAUGUGAAAGCGUUAGGCGAAAGCGUCGGCAGUAAGUUGGUUGCGUCUGCUGGCUCCAACUCGGGUAGUAGAUUAUCUCUUGAUAAUCUCAAGCCCGCGAUGACGGUUUUCAGUGAGUUAUCCUGGAUCGUCGUCAACCGGGCUUGAUAAUCUCAAGUUCGUGAUAGGUACCGUCGCUUGUGGGUUCCGUUGCUUCCUGAUCUUGCUUAUAUAUGUGCCUUGCCGGGCUUGUUUCUCAUGCCUCGUUAGUGAUUUGAAUCCAUCGCUUUGCAAACGUGACGACUUGUUGCUUGCGUCUGCUGGUUUGACUCGUUUGUAUGCGGUUGUUAAGGUGAAGGGACUCGUUUCUUUAGGUGACUAGAUCCGACGAUGAUGUUACCGUGCGUACGAUUGAGCUUUUGCUUUUGAUCUAUGGCAUAGCUACGGAUUCUUUACGGUCUUUGUUGCGCGAGCAACAUGAGCGACCGGUUCCUAAUACGUGGAUAUAUAAGCAAGCGAUGUGGCAACGGUUCUUACCUGUGACGGUCUCUAUGGUUGGUUCCUGAUGUCGGUUUAUAUUCCUGGUUCUCCCAUCGUUCGGGGCAUUCUGGGGCUGUUUUGGCUAUUGGUUGCUUGCUUGGUCUUGAGCCGAUCAGGUGGCUUCUAGUCUGGUGGCUUCGGGGAUGUUAACCGUAAAGGUGGAUGAGUGGUGUUUGGUUUGUUACGUGUGGUUGGCUGCGGCGUUUGCAACAACUUCCAUGCUUUCAGACCUCUUCAGUUGUGCGGCAAGGCUUGUAUCGCCUUGAGCGUAUUGUGGGUUUUCUGUGUUGAAUACCUAAUCAAUGGUAUCGGUUGGAUUGAUCAAAGUUUCAUUUCGUCUUCCGUCGCAUUCGCGGCGUGAGGUGAACCUUGAUGCGGUCUCUUUGGUCCACCUUGUCGAAGCACAUGCGUCGACGUUGUGGCACAUUGAGCAUUGCUUGGUCUCUUGUAUACGGAACAUGUAGUGGGCAUGGAUCUAACGAUUCUUGUUCGCCCUCAUAUUAGCGUAUCGCUUCUCUAACACGACUUGCGCCACGUCUUAGCUCGUACGGGCGUGGUGCUAUGUCGAAGAGGAAUGC
rnacentral:misc_RNA from 1 species